AAGCAUCUUGAAAUAAUUUUUUGGAAGUCUUAAGUGUGUGUAUAAGAACUCAAUUAUGUAAACUGCUUAAUUUCUGAAACUGAAAUCAGAUAUUCUGAAGAGUUGUAGAUCUAAUUAACUCUUACACAAUUCAGAAAUCAGUACCUCCAGUCAGUAUUAAUUUUUAACUAAGUUCUGUUGAAAAUUCAACUAAUUUUUCUAAUCAUUGUCUCUCAAAAGUAUCACUCAAACUCCAGAAGCUAGCUGGACUCUUUGGAGGCCUGCUGAACUUCUCAUGGCAAGAUAAUUAUGCACAAUAACAGAGCAUCAUAACUUCAUAACUGACAUUCCCACAUGCACCCUGGAAUAAUCCUGAAAUGAACAGAAAGAAUACAUAGGAAAUAAACUCUCUUAUUUUCAGCCCUUUUCCAUCAAGAAACUCCAGGUCACUACCUUAGCAUCAGAAAGAUUUACUCAAGUCUAUCCUUGCAAGGUCACACAACUGUAACAGUUAUAGCAAGUCAUGACAACAGAUGGAUUUGUCAGAAUUUGUGCAAGGCACUAACUGGGAACACCAAGGCACUACAAUUUCUCCUUAAGGAAUGCUGCAUUGUAUUUAAAGAAGCUGGCUAUCUUAAGACAAACAAUGAUUUUCAUAGGUUUGAAUAUAACUAUGGUUUCUUGACAAAAUUCACAUUUUUCAAAUAAAACAACCACAUUUUGUCUGACAAUUCUGUCUUAUAUGUCAGUGUUUACCCCUACAUCAUCUCUGUUCCAAAUGGGUUUUUAUUUAACCUACAAGUGAGUUACUAGAUGAAUAUAAUGGGUAAAAAAAAUAGGUUUUCAAAACAAAAUAAUACAGGGAGGACAAGUAUACAAAAUUGUGAGAAUUAAACAGGAACAGAUCUCUCUCUGAUUUGAAUUUAAACACAAAGCUGCAGAAUUGAGAAGAAAAUCAUAAGGAUGACAAAACCAUUGGAAAUACAUGAGGAAAAGAAGACAAAAAGUAUCUUAAAUAUUUCUUGGCUUAUCUGAACAGAAUGAAACAAAAUGCACAUGAUGCAAACUGAUGAGAUAUCUCUGCAUAUGGCAGCCUAUGUGAAGCUUUAAAUAUAGCCUAAAUAACAAAUACUUCAACUGUUCUGGACUGAAAAAAAACCAAACCUGAGACAAAGGAAAAAAUAACAAAACUUAAGUUCAGCAUUCUUGAAAGAGAAUUAAAGUAAUAAUUAGAAUGACAGCAAAUAUUUAGAGCUAGACACUUUUCCAGAAACAGAUUAAAAGUCAACUGAAAUUAGGUAUGACUGACUCUGCAGGUCACAUCCUACUGAGUAAUUGUUUUGUGCAGAUCAGAGCAGAUCCAACUACUAACCCGGGUGAUAUCCCCUACCUCAGGGAUUGCUGCUCCUAAUUUCUCAUCCCUGUUGAUGAAGUCUUAACACCUAUUGUGAUGCAAAACAACAAUCUUUUUGAAACGUUGUUGAUUGUUACUGGGUGAGGAUGCCAGUGUUAAUGGUAUCAGAGAGAUAAAGCUAAACAAACUGACCUUGAACAAACUCAGUGUCAGCAAGUGAAAAUUGAAAAUAAACUGUGAAAGCAUAUAAGGCAAAGACAAAAGUGUUCAACAGAAGGAAUGCUUGAGGGGAAAAAAAAAUCGCUUCAGUCAACUUAAAAAGAUUGCAAUAACACUGAAUAACAACAAGGUGAAAAUUAUGGGGUUGCAUCAUAAUUGUAAUCUACUACCUGAAUUUGAAAAGGAAUUAUUGUCUGCAAAGACAGAAGCCCUUUGCGUCCUUCAAACAGUUUGCAAGAGAAUAAAAACAAAAAAAAGUCUAAAAUCUUUGUGAGACAAAUAAUAACUUUCAGUAAACAUUUUCAAUACCACUUCACUAUAUAGAAGAAAAUUAGUUAGCUACUAAAUGACAUGCUAUUUGUAUAACAACUAGAUUAGACUCAACAACAAGAAUAAAACCUUUGCAAAAAUCAUUUACAUUUCAAAGGAGAAAUGGUAAAGAAAAAGCAUGGUUACACAAAAAAUAUAGCUUUAUGAGGAAUCAAAAAACUAGUAUCUUUAAUAUAUUAGGUUUUUUUUAAAAUUUUAAUUAAGGUCAGCAUUUAAUGCUGCUACUGUUAAAUUAAAAUUCUCAGUCAACACAAGAGUCUAAUUUUUUUGUUUAUCUGAAUCUUUGGAAUACCGCUUUGCUUGACUGGAGAGCAGGGACAGUUUUUAAAAAGAUAAGAGAUUCUUAAACCAUUCCAUAGACCAACUUCGAUUACAGCAACAAAUAAACAGUUCCCCUGAAAUAUACAAUAAUUAAGUAGAGGAAAAUUGCACCUUUCCUCCUUCACACCACACCAUCCCCUGAAGCAGUCCACAGUGGUCAGAAAAAUCACAUUCUUAGUAACAGGAAUAGAAUAUUAAGGUUGAAUUGUCAGCCUCCAUCCAUCAGAACUCCUCACAUUGGCAAUGAAUUGUGAUUUGGAGAGCCACAUCACUUAUAACUGAUUGUCAUUUGAUUGGGCCAAGCUGCAACUUUAGGGGAAAACCAUGGAAAAAGUAGGAGUGAAGCUUACAGCACCCAUUGUAAAGUCUCUUUUCAGUAUUGAAGAACACAUGACUUCUGGGAAAGCAAGUUUUUUUAAUCAUCUUGCAGAUUUCAGCAGCAAGGCUUUUCUAGAAUUCUCACUUUCUUUAAUCCCCAAGCGAUAUUCUCCAAAUGAUCAUAAAAAUUUCCAAGACUCAAAGGCAAAUAAGCAAAAAAUUCCACCUAAACUCCAUCACCAAGGAAUUUCAUUUUUGUUUUUUCCAAGACAAAAUCUAGAUAUUUAGUUAAAGCUGCCAAAAAAAAAAUCAAUGCCAUCCACUGAUUUUUACCAGACGUGGAAAGCCUCUCAGACAAGAUCGAAGAGAGUCAAGAGCUUUCCUUAUUUUCCCACGUUCUUCUCAUAAAUCCACCAAGGAACAAAGCAUAGAUAAGCAAAAGUAAACCAAGACAAAACAACACAAAAACCACCAUUCCCUGCUUUUAUUUGAUCCUACACUUAGAGCAGACCAUAGCAUGUAGUGAAAAAAGUACCAGGCAGCCCUACCAAGCCUUUUCACUCUGAACAGAAAAUGUUCAUCCUGUGCCAAGUCACGUCACACUGCUCUACAUCCAUCUAAGUAAUCCAUCUCAAAAUAAAUUCGCAUAGAUGACAUGUAUAUACAGAAAACAACGUUUCUCUUCAAACCUGGGUUUGAACAUAGGCAAGCUGUAUUUUUCAAUGGUUAAUAAAACAGCAAAAGCACAUCUGUCAUACUGCUGUGGGUUCCCCUGUUAACUAGUGUAGAAGAAACUGAAUUUUAAGGAUUCAUAAGGAGAUAUUCAUAGAGAUCUCUUACUAUUUUGCAAAAAAUGAGAAUUUCUCCAAACGAAAGAUCGGCACACACACAUUCUCCCUAGCUACAAGGAGAAUUUCUGUCUAAAGUAAAAAGCAAAGGAAAGCUAUAAACAACUGAAAAUGUGAGGAAAACAGAAACUGAAAUGCUACAUUUAUGCAAGUACUAAAAACUGCAGUGACUGCAAUACAAAGUUAAUUGGCAAUUCUUCAAUAAUAUUUGUUUUCAGAAUCAACAGCUGCUUUUACAAAAAUGUUGAUUUUGUAGCAUACAACAUUAGUAAUUACUCCUUACAUUCAGGAGCCUGUCUUUUCUGCAAGACAAGAAAAGAAAUCAGAAAAAAAA